rnacentral:rRNA from 1 species
UACGUAGGGUGCAAGCGUUAAUCGGAAUUACUGGGCGUAAAGCGUGCGCAGGCGGUUUGGUAAGACAGAUGUGAAAUCCCCGGGCUUAACCUGGGAAUUGCAUUUGUGACUGCCCGGCUAGAGUGUGUCAGGGAGGGGGUAGUAACUCCACGUGUAGCAGUGAAAUGCGUAGAGAUGUGGAGGAAUACCGAUGGCGAAGGCAGCCCCCCUGGGAUAACACUGACGCUCAUGCACGAAAGCGUGGGGAGCAAACAGG